AUGCCGGGAACCAGGACAAGGUUUAAGCAUUCCAGACCUAAGAAACCAAGAAGUCUAAGAAUUUAUGAAUCUCAUGUGGGAAUUUCUUCUCAUGAAGGAAAAAUAGCUUCUUAUAAACAUUUUACAAGCAGUGUACUACCAAGAAUCAAAGACCUUGGCUACAACUGCAUUCAGUUGAUGGCAAUCAUGGAGCAUGCUUUCUAUGCCAGUUUUGGGUACCAAAUCACUAGCUUUUUUGCAGCUUCAAGUCGUUAUGGAACACCUGAAGAACUAAAGGAACUUGUUGACACAGCUCAUUCCAUGGGCAUCAUCGUCCUCCUGGAUGUGGUACAUAGCCAUGCUUCAAAAAAUUCAGAAGAUGGGUUGAACAUAUUUGAUGGAACUGAUUCUUGUUAUUUUCAUUCUGGACCGAGAGGGACCCAUGAACUUUGGGACAGUAGAUUGUUUAACUACUCCAGCUGGGAAGUUUUAAGAUUCCUUCUAUCAAACAUCAGGUGGUGGUUGGAAGAAUACUGCUUUGAUGGGUUUCGUUUUGAUGGUGUUACCUCCAUGCUGUAUCAUCACCAUGGGAUGGGUCAAGGUUUUUCAGGUGAUUAUAAUGAAUAUUUUGGACUACAAGUAGAUGAAGAUGCCUUGGUUUAUUUGAUGUUAGCAAAUCAUUUGAUUCAUACAUUGUAUCCAAAUUCUAUAACAAUAGCUGAGGAUGUGUCAGGAAUGCCCGCUGUGUUCUCCAACUUCCCAGGGAGGAGGUGGUUUUGACUACCGGUUAGCAAUGGCAAUUCCAGAUAAAUGGAUCCAACUACUUAAAGAAUUUAAAGAUGAAGACUGGAAUAUGGGCAACAUAGUUUACACCCUCACAAAUCGGCGUUACCUUGAAAAGUGUAUUGCUUAUGCAGAGAGUCAUGAUCAGGCACUGGUUGGUGAUAAGACACUGGCAUUUUGGUUGAUGGAUGCAGAGAUGUAUACAAACAUGAGUGUUUUAGCUCCUUUUACUCCGGUUAUCGACCGUGGAAUACAGCUUCACAAGAUGAUUCGGCUCAUUACUCAUGCACUUGGUGGAGAAGGUUAUCUCAAUUUCAUGGGUAAUGAAUUCGGGCAUCCUGAGUGGUUAGACUUCCCAAGAAAAGGAAAUAAUGAGAAUUACCAUUAUGCCAGAAGGCAGUUUAAUUUAACUGAUGAUGACCUCCUUCGCUAUAAAUUCCUAAAUAACUUUGACCGAGAUAUGAGUAGAUUAGAAGAGAGAUGUGGUUGGCUUUCAGCUCCACAGGCCUACGUGAGUGAAAAACAUGAAGACAAUAAGAUCAUCACUUUUGAGAGAGCAGGUCUUCUUUUUAUUUUCAACUUCCACCCAAGCAAGAGCUACACGGACUACCAAGUUGGAACCGCGUUGCCAGGGAAAUUCAAAAUUGUACUAGAUUCAGAUGCACCGGAAUAUGGAGGACACCAGAGACUGGACCACAAUACUGAUUUCUUUUCUGAGGCUUUUGAACAUAAUGGACGUCCCUAUUCUCUUUUGGUAUACAUUCCAAGCCGAGUGGCCCUCAUCCUUCAGAAUGCAGAUCUGCCAAACUAAGGAGACCUGAACUCAGCCACCUCAUGUGGAUGUGUUUGAUUGCUGGUUCUUAUUGUCACACUGUUGAUAAAUGUGUAUUUUUUAAAAAAAAAAAACAUACCGAUAUUGUCAAAAUAUCAGGUUCAAAUUCAACAUUGGACAUACAGGUAUAUCAAAAAGUUGCUUAAGAAGCAGAAGUGAGAUUAUGCUUAAAAUUUUAGCAGUCUGUAUUUUCAAGCCAUCUGCAGAGCUAGGAUUCUCAAAUGAAGUAUAAUGUUUAUCUCUUUUAAAUGUUACCUUCCUGUUAAAUAAUUUGUUCCUUUAAUUUUAAAUUUGAAUUAUGCAUCGUUUGUUUUUUUUCUGUUGAAUGUAAUGCAGUAUUUUAUAAGACAGAUAUUUGGUGGCCUUAUUUGUUCUAAUAUCUAUUGGUAUAAAUGAUGAGGUACUAAAUUUGUUUCUAUUUUUUUCAAAUUGUGUUUAGAAACAAUGUAAUAUAUAUGUAGCAAUAAUAUAAAUUCUAGAAUUCAAUCAAAGAUGAAAGUU